rnacentral:rRNA from 1 species
GUUGUAGUCUGGAGAAGUGCUUUCCGCGCUGGACCGUGUACAAGUCUCUUGGAACAGAGCGUCAUAGAGGGUGAGAAUCCCGUCUUUGACACGGACUACCAGUGCUUUGUGAUGCGCUCUCAAAGAGUCGAGUUGUUUGGGAAUGCAGCUCAAAAUGGGUGGUGAAUUCCAUCUAAAGCUAAAUAUUGGCGAGAGACCGAUAGCGAACAAGUACCGUGAGGGAAAGAUGAAAAGCACUUUGGAAAGAGAGUUAAACAGUACGUGAAAUUGCUGAAAGGGAAACGCUUGAAGUCAGUCGCGUUGUCCGGAACUCAGCCUUGCUUCGGCUUGGUGCAUUUUCCGGGCGACGGGCCAGCAUCGAUUUUGACCGUCGGAAAAGGGCUGAGGGAAUGUGGCACCUUCGGGUGUGUUAUAGCCUUCAGUCGCAUACGGCGGUUGGGAUCGAGGAACGCAGCACGCCUUAUGGCUGGGGUUCGCCCACAUUCGUGCUUAGGAUGCUGGCAUAAUGGCUUUAAACGACCCGUCUUGAAACACGGACCAAGGAGUCUAACAUGCCUGCGAGUGUUUGGGUGGAAAACCCGAGCGCGUAAUGAAAGUGAAAGUUGAGACCUCUGUCGUGGAGGGCAUCGACGCCCGGACCUGACGUUCUCUGACGGAUCCGCGGUAGAGCAUGUAUGUUGGGACCCGAAAGAUGGUGAACUAUGCCUGAAUAGGGUGAAGCCAGAGGAAACUCUGGUG